GGGUGUGUGUGUGUGUGUGUGUGGGUAUGUGAGUUUUUUGUGCAUUGGGGACAUUCUGCAGUCUCAGCCCUUUGUUUGGGCAUGCAUCUUUUCUGGAUUGUGUCAGAUUUUAUA